GCGGCCGUGGCGGAACUGGCAGACGCGCAGGCUUCAGGUGCCUGUUUCCUUCGGGAAGUGGAGGUUCGAAUCCUCUCGGCCGCA
rnacentral:tRNA from 1 species